UCCAGACUCCUACGGGAGGCAGCAGUGGGGAAUAUUGGGCAAUGGGCGCAAGCCUGACCCAGCAACGCCGCGUGAAGGAAGAAGGCUUUCGGGUUGUAAACUUCUUUUGUCAGGGACGAAGCAAGUGACGGUACCUGACGAAUAAGCCACGGCUAACUACGUGCCAGCAGCCGCGGUAAUACGGAGGAUGCGAGCGUUAUCCGGAUUUAUUGGGUUUAAAGGGUGCGUAGGCGGGCAUUUAAGCCGGCGGUCAAAUGUCGGGGCUCAACCCCGGCCUGCCGUCGGAACUGGGUGCCUUGAGUGGGCGAGAAGUAUGCGGAAUGCGUGGUGUAGCGGUGAAAUGCAUAGAUAUCACGCAGAACCCCGAUUGCGAAGGCAGCAUGCCGGCUCCACACUGACGCUGAGGCACGAAAGCGUGGGUAUCGAACAGGAUUAGAUACCCGGGUA
rnacentral:rRNA from 1 species